rnacentral:rRNA from 1 species
GAUGAACGCUGGCGGCGUGCCUAAUACAUGCAAGUCGAGCGGUAAGGCUCCUUCGGGAGUACACGAGCGGCGGACGGGUGAGUAAUACGUAGGAACGUACCCCAAAGUGAGGAAUAACCAGCCGAAAGGUUGGCUAAUACCGCAUAUGCUCUACGGAGUAAAGCAGCAAUGCGCUUUGGGAACGGCCUGCGUCCGAUUAGCUAGUUGGUAAGGUAAAGGCUUACCAAGGCGACGAUCGGUAGCUGUUCUGAGAGGAUGAUCAGCCACACUGGAACUGAGACACGGUCCAGACUCCUACGGGAGGCAGCAGUAGGGAAUUUUCCACAAUGGGCGAAAGCCUGAUGGAGCAACGCCGCGUGCAGGAUGAAGGCCUUAGGGUUGUAAACUGCUUUUAUCUGUGACGAUUAUGACAGUAGCAGAUGAAUAAGGAUCGGCUAACUCCGUGCCAGCAGCCGCGGUAA